rnacentral:rRNA from 1 species
GACGAACCGUGCGAACGUUAUUCGGAAUCACUGGGCUUAAAGCGCGUGUAGGCGGGACGGCACGUCGGUCGCUGAAAUCCCCCGGCUCAACCGGGGAACGGGCGCCGAUACGACCGCCCUGGAGGGGCGUAGGGGGAUCGGGAACUUCCGGUGGAGCGGUGAAAUGCGUUGAGAUCGGAAGGAACGCCCGUGGCGAAAGCGCGGUCCUGGACGCUUACUGACGCUGAGACGCGAAAGCCAGGGGAGCGAACGGG